AUUGAACGCUGGCGGCAGGCUUAACACAUGCAAGUCGAGCGGAGAUGAGGUGCUUGCACCUUAUCUUAGCGGCGGACUGGUGAGUAAUGCUUAGGAAUCUGCCUAUUAGUGGGGGACAACAUUCCGAAAGGAAUGCUAAUACCGCAUACGCCCUACGGGGGAAAGCAGGGGAUCUUCGGACCUUGCGCUAAUAGAUGAGCCUAAGUCGGAUUAGCUAGUUGGUGGGGUAAAGGCCUACCAAGGCGACGAUCUGAAGCGGGUCUGAGAGGAUGAUCCGCCACACUGGGAAUGAGACACGGCCCAGCCUCCUACGGGAGGCAGCAGUGGGGAAUAUUGGACAAUGGGCGGAAGCCUGAUCCAGCCAUGCCGCGUGUGUGAGGAAGGCCUUUUGGUUGUAAAGCACUUUAAGCGAGGAGGAGGCUACCUGGAUUAAUACUCUAGGAUAGUGGACGUUACUCGCAGAAUAAGCACCGGCUAACUCUGUGCCAGCCGCCGCUGUAAUAC
rnacentral:rRNA from 1 species